GCUCUUGUGGCGCAGUUGGUAGCGCGCCAGACUUCUAAUCUGGUGGUCCAGGGUUCGAGCCCCUGCAGGAGCU
rnacentral:tRNA from 1 species